rnacentral:rRNA from 1 species
AUAUCAGUCAUGCAUAGCAUAUCAAUAAGCGGAGGAAAAGGAACUAACAAGGAUUCCCUUAGUAACGGCGAGUGAAGCGGGAAGAGCUCAAAUUUGAAAUCUUCAAGGUUUUACCUUGACGAAUUGUAGUUUAAAGAAGUGUUUUCUGUUGAAGUUUUGGUAAAAGUUCUUUGGAAUAGGACAUCAUAGAGGGUGAGAAUCCCGUAUUUGACCAUUACUUUCAGCUUUGUGAUACACUUUCAAAGAGUCGGAUUGUUUGGGAAUGCAGUCCAAAAUGGGUGGUAAAUUUCAUCUAAAGCUAAAUAUUGGCGAGAGACCGAUAGCGAACAAGUACCGUGAGGGAAAGAUGAAAAGAACUUUGAAAAGAGAGUUAAACAGUACGUGAAAUUGUCAAAAGGGAAGCGUUUGACACCAGUGUUGUUUUCUCGAAAAUCAAUUAAAAAGAGUUGGAUUUUGUGUUGUAUUGACUUUAUCAGCUUUCUUCACUCUUUUCCAGCUUUUUUUAAUGCACUUUUCGUUUAACAAGUCAACAUCAGUUUCUUUUGUUGUAAAAAGGUCAUUGGAAGGUGGCUUUCUCUUCGGAGAAAGUGUUUAUAGCCUUUGACUCAUGCAAUCGGAGAGACUGAGGUCUGCAGCGUAGAUCCUUCGGGGUUAGAUACAUUUGUGCUAAGUUAUAGCUUUUCAUAGACAACUUGUUGACUAUGUUUAGUCUUGUAGCUUACUCGCUUAUGCUAUUUUACCUACGCUUAGGAUGUUGAACUCUAUCACACACAG